AAAUUGAAGAGUUUGAUCAUGGCUCAGAUUGAACGCUGGCGGCAGGCCUAACACAUGCAAGUCGAGCGGUAGCACAGAGGAGCUUGCUCCUUGGGUGACGAGCGGCGGACGGGUGAGUAAUGUCUGGGAAACUGCCUGAUGGAGGGGGAUAACUACUGGAAACGGUAGCUAAUACCGCAUAACCUCGCAAGAGCAAAGAGGGGGACCUUAGGGCCUCUCGCCAUCAGAUGUGCCCAGAUGGGAUUAGCUAGUAGGUGAGGUAAUGGCUCACCUAGGCGACGAUCCCUAGCUGGUCUGAGAGGAUGACCAGCCACACUGGAACUGAGACACGGUCCAGACUCCUACGGGAGGCAGCAGUGGGGAAUAUUGCACAAUGGGCGCAAGCCUGAUGCAGCCAUGCCGCGUGUGUGAAGAAGGCCUUCGGGUUGUAAAGCACUUUCAGCGAGGAGGAAGGCGGUAAGGUUAAUAACCUUAUCGAUUGACGUUACUCGCAGAAGAAGCACCGGCUAACUCCGUGCCAGCAGCCGCGGUAAUACGGAGGGUGCAAGCGUUAAUCGGAAUGACUGGGCGUAAAGCGCACGCAGGCGGUCUGUUAAGUUGGAUGUGAAAUCCCCGGGCUUAACCUGGGAACUGCAUUCAAAACUGACAGGCUAGAGUCUUGUAGAGGGGGGUAGAAUUCCAGGUGUAGCGGUGAAAUGCGUAGAGAUCUGGAGGAAUACCGGUGGCGAAGGCGGCCCCCUGGACAAAGACUGACGCUCAGGUGCGAAAGCGUGGGGAGCAAACAGGAUUAGAUACCCUGGUAGUCCACGCUGUAAACGAUGUCGAUUUGGAGGUUGUGCCCUUGAGGCGUGGCUUCCGGAGCUAACGCGUUAAAUCGACCGCCUGGGGAGUACGGCCGCAAGGUUAAAACUCAAAUGAAUUGACGGGGGCCCGCACAAGCGGUGGAGCAUGUGGUUUAAUUCGAUGCAACGCGAAGAACCUUACCUACUCUUGACAUCCACAGAAUUUGGUAGAGAUACCUUAGUGCCUUCGGGAACUGUGAGACAGGUGCUGCAUGGCUGUCGUCAGCUCGUGUUGUGAAAUGUUGGGUUAAGUCCCGCAACGAGCGCAACCCUUAUCCUUUGUUGCCAGCGAUUCGGUCGGGAACUCAAAGGGAGACUGCCGGUGAUAAACCGGAGGAAGGUGGGGGAUGACGUCAAGUCAUCAUGGCCCUUACGAGUAGGGCUACACACGUGCUACAAUGGCGUAUACAAAGAGAAGCGACCUCGCGAGAGCAAGCGGACCUCAUAAAGUACGUCGUAGUCCGGAUUGGAGUCUGCAACUCGACUCCAUGAAGUCGGAAUCGCUAGUAAUCGUAGAUCAGAAUGCUACGGUGAAUACGUUCCCGGGCCUUGUACACACCGCCCGUCACACCAUGGGAGUGGGUUGCAAAAGAAGUAGGUAGCUUAACCUUCGGGAGGGCGCUUACCACUUUGUGAUUCAUGACUGGGGUGAAGUCGUAACAAGGUAACCGUAGGGGAACCUGCGGUUGGAUCACCUCCUUACCAAGAAG
rnacentral:rRNA from 1 species